rnacentral:rRNA from 1 species
AGUCGAACGAUGAAGCUGGAGCUUGCUCUGGUGGAUUAGUGGCGAACGGGUGAGUAACACGUGAGCAACCUGCCCCUGACUCUGGGAUAACAGCCGGAAACGGCUGCUAAUACCGGAUAUGCACCAUGAACGCAUGUUCUGUGGUGGGAAAGAUUUUUCGGUUGGGGAUGGGCUCGCGGCCUAUCAGCUUGUUGGUGAGGUAAUGGCUCACCAAGGCGUCGACGGGUAGCCGGCCUGAGAGGGUGACCGGCCACACUGGGACUGAGACACGGCCCAGACUCCUACGGGAGGCAGCAGUGGGGAAUAUUGCACAAUGGGCGAAAGCCUGAUGCAGCAACGCCGCGUGAGGGAUGACGGCCUUCGGGUUGUAAACCUCUUUUAGCAGGGAAGAAGCGAGAGUGACGGUACCUGCAGAAAAAGCGCCGGCUAACUACGUGCCAGCAGCCGCGGUAAUACGUAGGGCGCAAGCGUUAUCCGGAAUUAUUGGGCGUAAAGAGCUCGUAGGCGGUUUGUCGCGUCUGCUGUGAAAACUGGAGGCUCAACCUCCAGCCUGCAGUGGGUACGGGCAGACUAGAGUGCGGUAGGGGAGAUUGGAAUUCCUGGUGUAGCGGUGGAAUGCGCAGAUAUCAGGAGGAACACCGAUGGCGAAGGCAGAUCUCUGGGCCGUAACUGACGCUGAGGA